UUGACAUGUGUUGUGUGCUUCCACUGUGUGAGGCACUAUUUUGAGCAAGCAUUUAAUCUUCACAACAACCUAAUGAGGGAGGGGAAGACCCAGGGUUCAAAAUCUGGCAGCCUGGGCCAGAGCCAGCACUCUAAUCUCUCUGUGGCGAACUCUUCAUGAAGCAAGUUUCAUCUGUUACAAAACCCUGGCACUAGAAUAAGUGACUGAAUGAAUGGUCCAACUACUUCACGUGAAGAGGAAAGGACUUUUCCACACAGCUGAAGGAGGGUUGCUGAAAAUGGGAGCUUUGGGAUCUAAGAUCCUAUCGUCCCUUGAAUGCCAUCCUCCACAAGAUGGACGAUCAGGAAACUGCGACUCUGAGAAAACAGAUCCUCCAGUUCUCAACUGAUACUAGCUGCACUGAGGCCCAGAGCACAGGUGUCCCAGCCUGGAAGCUGGAGAAUCAGCCGAGCCCCAGGGCUCCAUCCCCAGCACAGCACCCGCCCUCUUUGGGCAGGGUUUCAUCUGCUACCUUGAAGCCCCACAGCUCCCCGUGUCUCCUCUGCAGGAAGCUAAAGCAAGGGAUUUGGAAUGUGCCAACCGGAGGCCCAGUUGGCAAUAAAACCCUGUCACCCAGCCCGUGGCAUGUUAUAACCUUCCCGAGAUUUUUAACCCAAGCUCAUAAACUCCUUUCCUUCUUCCCACCCUUUCUAAGAGCUAGCUUUCCAAAACAGCCAUUGCCACAUACCCAAGUCCCCUCACAGGAGCGUCAUAAGAGCUCCUUUUUCAUUUCAAGUCCAAAGGGGGAAGGGGCCCACAGGGUGGGGACAGAGCCACUGAGGAAAUUUAUUUCCUCUUCCCUUACUAAUCUUUUUCCCAUCCAGGUGUGUUUUCCCAUGGACUAAAAUAUCACCAGUACAGAGGCCCUUAGAGGGAAUUCUAGCUCAAUUCACUCAUUUAUUAGAUGAAACUGAGGCCCAGAGAAGUGCCCCCCUCAAGGCCUGCAUAGAGUGAGGUGGGCUGGGGCUGGAGGAGGCUUCUGGUCCCUGGGUACUUCUCAUGUCAGGUAUAGCUGCCUAUCUGUGUGCCUGUGUGUGUCUGUGUACACCUGUGUAUGCCUGUAUGUGGGUCUGUGUGUGUCUUUGUA